UCUCCUGGGCAUGGGCAGGACGGACACCAGAGAGAAAUGGGUGAAUAAGUGGCCAUCCCUGUCCUCCAGGAGCUC
rnacentral:precursor_RNA from 1 species